AAAUUGAAGAGUUUGAUCAUGGCUCAGAUUGAACGCUGGCGGCAGGCCUAACACAUGCAAGUCGAGCGG
rnacentral:rRNA from 3 species